UACGAAGGGGGCUAGCGUUGCUCGGAAUGACUGGGCGUAAAGGGCGCGUAGGCGGAUUGUACAGUCAGGCGUGAAAUUCCCGGGCUCAACCUGGGGGCUGCGCUUGAGACGUGCGAUCUUGAGUGGGGAAGAGGGUCGUGGAAUUCCCAGUGUAGAGGUGAAAUUCGUAGAUAUUCGGAAGAACACCAGUGGCGAAGGCGACUUACUGGACACGUAUUGACGCUGAGGUGCGAAAGCGUGGGGAGCAAACAGG
rnacentral:rRNA from 1 species